rnacentral:rRNA from 1 species
AGAGUUUGAUCCUGGCUCAGAACGAACGCUGGCGGCAUGCCUAACACAUGCAAGUCGAACGCGUGUAGCAAUACACGAGUGGCGGACGGGUGAGUAACGCGUGGGAACCUGCCCAAUGGUAGGGAAUAACUGCGGGAAACUGCAGCUAAUACCCUAUGCUCCCUACGGGGGAAAGAUUUAUCGCCAUUGGAGGGGCCCGCGUCGGAUUAGCUAGUUGGCGGGGUAACGGCCCACCAAGGCUACGAUCCGUAGCUGGUCUGAGAGGAUGAUCAGCCACACUGGGACUGAGAUACGGCCCAGACUCCUACGGGAGGCAGCAGUGGGGAAUAUUGGACAAUGGGGGAAACCCUGAUCCAGCAAUGCCGCGUGAGUGAAGAAGGCCUUAGGGUUGUAAAGCUCUUUCGGCGGGGACGAUGGUGACGGUACCCGCAGAAGAAGCCCCGGCUAACUUCGUGCCAGCAGCCGCGGUAAUACGAAGGGGGCUAGCGUUGUUCGGAAUCACUGGGCGUAAAGGGCGCGUAGGCGGCGCGACAAGUCAGGCGUGAAAGCCCCGGGCUCAACCCGGGAAUUGCGCUUGAUACUGUCGUGCUUGAGGCCGGGAGAGGAUGGCGGAAUUCCCAGUGUAGAGGUGAAAUUCGUAGAUAUUGGGAAGAACACCGGUGGCGAAGGCGGCCAUCUGGACCGGUUCUGACGCUGAGGCGCGAAAGCGUGGGGAGCAAACA